rnacentral:rRNA from 1 species
GUCCUACGGGACGCAGCAGUGAGGAAUAUUGGUCAAUGGGCUUACGCCUGAACCAGCCAAGUCGCGUGAGGGAAGACUGCCCUAUGGGUUGUAAACCUCUUUUGUCAGGGAGCAACGCCGGCUACGUGUAGCCGGACUGAGAGUACCUGAAGAAAAAGCAUCGGCUAACUCCGUGCCAGCAGCCGCGGUAAUACGGAGGACGCGAGCGUUAUCCGGAUUUAUUGGGUUUAAAGGGUGCGUAGGCGGGAUGCCAAGUCAGCGGUCAAAUACGGGGGCUCAACCUGCGUCCGCCGUUGAAACUGGCG